CCUACGGGAGGCAGCAGUAAGGAAUAUUGGUCAAUGGGCGCAAGCCUGAACCAGCCAUGCCGCGUGCAGGAAGACGGCCCUAUGGGUUGUAAACUGCUUUUGAACAAGAGAAAACCUCGGUACGUGUACCGAGCUGAUAGUAUUGUUAGAAUAAGCAUCGGCUAACUUCGUGCCAGCAGCCGCGGUAAGACGAAGGAUGCAAGCGUUAUCCGGAUUCAUUGGGUUUAAAGGGUGCGUAGGCGGCCUGAUAAGUCAGUGGUGAAAUCUCUCAGCUUAACUGAGAAACUGCCAUUGAUACUGUCGGGCUUGAGUACAGAUGAUGUGGGCGGAAUAUGACAUGUAGUGGUGAAAUACUUAGAUAUGUCAUAGAACACCGAUUGCGAAGGCAGCUCACAAAACUGUAACUGACGCUGAGGCACGAAAGUGCGGGGAUCAAACAGGAUUAGAUACCCUGGUAGUCCGCACCGUAAACCGAUGAUUACUCGUUGUUGGCAUAUGACCGUCAGCGACCAAGCGAAAGCGAUAGUAAUCCACCCUGGGGAGUACGCCGGCACGGUGAAACUCAAUGAAUUGACGG
rnacentral:rRNA from 1 species